rnacentral:lncRNA from 1 species
CUGGAAAGACAGGGAAGAAGGAAGAAAAAGCAGAAGGAAGUGAAGGAAGAUAGAAAUACAUCAGUAAAGAACAGAGAUGUAAUGAUAAGGAGGAGGAAAUAAUACAGGUUGCAGGAGAGAAAAUGGGAAGCAGGCUGAGAGGCAAAAAGAGAAGGAAAAUUGUGCAAAGUAGUAAGGAACAGCAAAGAGGAAAGAACCAAAGAGUAGAUCUAUUUUUCCCAGUCUGUUCCAGCAGCCGUUGUAAGGGCAGUCUCUAGAGCAUAUUCUAGGAAGAAUUAAGAUUUCGGCAUCAUACAGCAGGAAGCAAAGAAGAUCUCUUCUCCAAAGYUGCAAGAACUGGCUCAAGUCUGGUCCUGGAUCCCUCUCAUCCGUUGACAAUCACUUCCGAAAGGCAAGCUGGUUACCUGACUUUUGGAAAAGUCCUUUCAGUCAUAUUACAACAUUAUAAAUCACCUGCUGAGCGACUGGGAUUCAAGGUGGUUGAUUCCUCACAGUUUCUGCAAGAUCAAAGCCAGUGCAGGAUGUACCCAGGCACCUCGAGAAGAAGGAGCACCAUUAAAGGAUGGCUUUGAAAACCCACCUGAGUGCUUUGCUGAGCAGAAUGCAAACAUGCUAAAUCUGUGCUGAAUGGACGAUGAAGGAGCUACAUGGAGACAUGCACACGCAUGUGCAGUGUGUGUGCAUCCAGGAUCUGUGACAAGUGGCGGACAGUGCAAGACUACAUCCGUCUGUGAGACCUGAAGGAAGCUCACAGCCAGAGCAGAACUAUAGGGAAAAAUUGAGAGGAUGGAGCAAACCAAAGGAAAGGACUAGAAGGAAAGUAAUUCUUCUGUAAUGCCCAGGUUAUUACAAAUUAAAUAGGUCAGCAUGUUGUAAUGUGGUGCAUGGCACAAUCUUCCAGUGGCCCAGGGGGACACAGGAGCAGUCUCCAAACAACCUCCUCUCUCCCUAUUUCAUAAAACCCUCUGAGCAAUGCACCAGCCUUUCAUCCUCUGAGAUUCUGCUUUUCCUGUUUGAUCUUGCACAAUAUAGCCAUGCUUUUCAGAUAUGUGUGCUCUUUC